CUGCGCAGUCACGGCUGCCAGCGAAGGGUCUGGAAGCGAGGGAGCUGCUGACGUCUGCGGCCCCGGCGUCGUGCGCAGUCGGGCCAAACGCGGCGACCGGCUCGGGCCGGUGUGGGAGCUGAGAAGUUUCCCGCCGAGUGGUCGCCAGACACCUCUGUCGAGUUGUGGCGGCCGGGCGGGGUCGCAGGGCCGUGGAGGCAGGGAGCCAGGUCGGCUGCAGGCCCGGCCGGGGCGCUCGCCCUCCCCGUCCUUUUCAACAUCCCCUCCCCUCCCCCACGCUCUGACCCCAAAGCGAGCGGCGAUUGCCCAGCAGGUCACUGUGAAGUUGGGACACGUGAGUUGGCAGAGAUGAACUCUUACUGCAGUGGACACCAACCCAGAGACGGCUGAACGAGCAUUCCCGAAGUCCUGCACUCCGCUGACCAGGUGAGGAGAAACUCCUCACAGCAUACACUGUCCAAUGGGAAUAACGACGGCUUGGGUGUCCAAGACACUGAUUCAGCAGGACCAAAUGCUGAGUAACUGCAGGAUUCCAGGGAAGCCUCUUCAUAUUUGCAGGUCUUCAUUUUUCUCUCUCUGAAGAGCAGGAAAUAUGAGAGAAGAGCUUAUGAACUUGAUAAAAAGUCCACUGAAAUGGGAAGAAGUUAAAAAGAGAGAGAAGAAAAGAAAAGAGGAAACUUUGUAGGACUGCUGAAAAGAGGAAAAUGUACCACUGACAUAUAAGAAAUAUGGAACUUGGGGAAUAUGUGAAACAGAAAGGACAAAAUGGAAGCAAAAACCUAUCAGACUUGAAUAGCAGAUUCCACAUACAGUAGAAGAAAGACUGAAGAUAAAUGAACCCAUCCACGUUUGUCACUCAGUGGUUAUUUGAGUGCAGUGUUGAGAAGGCGUGUGAAGAUGCUUGGAGACCUGAAGAAGCUGCCCCAACUAAAUAGCAAGCAAGUCCGGCAGAGCCAGAGUUUGAAUCCCAAGCCUGUAAUUGUUCCACUGUAGAAUUGAUGUUUCUAUGGGAAGCUCAGUUUGGGUUGUCGUCAGUAGGUCUCAUGGGUACCCUGGCUGUGUAAUUAUGGCUUGUAAAAGGUCGGUCGUGAAAGUUGAGCUGGUGAAAUCCAGCCUUGAAUACAUUGCUUGGCACAUGGUAAUUGCAUGGUCAAUAUAAUUGUUGAAUGAAAUAAUGAAUUAGUUGAUUAAUAGAAAACCCAUGAAUGUUAUUCUUAGUAAUUUACGUAAUAAACCAAGAGACUGUUUAUAUGUGUGUGAUUCAAGAGUGUUUACACACCCACAACUUCAGAUGACGGGCAGAUAUUCCUAGGAAGGUAAAACUGGAAUUUGAUUUUCAUUUAGUGAGUGAAAGAAACUGAAAUAAAAGGAUUGGCUAGUCAUCUAGGGAUCUCAUUAAAAAUGAAAAUCCCUAUAUUCCAUUCCCAGAGUUUGUUAUUUUUAUACUCUCCUGGAUGUGAAAUAAAAUGCUUUGUAAAUUGUGGAGUGCUGUACACACUUAAUAUAUUACCAAGAAACUGUGUGUGUGUGUGUGUGUGUGUGUGUGUGUUUCCCAUGAAGGUGGAGAAAGUAUCCUUUGGGAUCUGUUGAAAGUGAAGGAAGAGAACAGUUAAGAGACUCAGUUAAAUCAGAAAAGAAAGGGGCUCUUUCAUUCAGUGAAAGGAAUGUUUCUUUUGUCAGUAUCUCCCCCAGAGGCAAGUCUGGUUGACUAAAAUUUAACAAAGAGAUCCCGUUGGUGUGUUUGGUUAUUUCCUGAUUGAGGCAUCGUCGGUUACCCCAGGUGAUAGCAGUGUAUUGUCACUGUGUACACGCAGUCUGAAGGGAGAGCCAGGAAACUCUGAGCAAGGCUGCAGUGCUCAAAAUCUGGCCCAGCUCUGGGAGCCAAGGGUGAUUCUACUUGUCUGUCAUGCUUGUGACUCAGCACUCCUCUCCUUGCUUCCCUUUGUAGAUGUCUUCCUAUUCCAUAAUUGGUUACUACUUUUGUCCCUCCUUGUUUCUGCCUCAUGGCUUCUGCUUACUGCCUUCUGUCUACCAGUAAGCAACAUUUAUUGAGGCUUACUGUGUGCCAAGCAGAAUUUCACCUUUAUUCUCAGAACAACCUUUUGAGGUAGGAAUAGGGUGUCCUUGUUAUCUGAGUAUUCAUUACUAUAGUUUCCACACUGAGUGCACAGGGAUGCUAAGGCCAUCAAAAUAGGAAAACAUCCACUAAUGAGUUGAAAACCAAUGCAUUUUACACUCAAAACCCUCUUCCUACUUCAUAGUAGUCUUGGUAAUUAACAAUCACUAACAUACAAUGCACAUGUAAUGCAAAGCCUAAUAGCAAAAUUUGCAAAAGAUGCAGAAUGUCAUGAAGUCGAUGUCAAUAGGAAGGUCAUUGGUAAAAGACUGUCAGAGUGUGGCCAGUUAACAAUUAGAGAAGAGGAAAUAGACAAGGCCUGUGUUAAUUUUGCUACUUGAGAACCAGUGUUGCUGUUCUGAAAUACAUUUUGGAAAUCUUUGGUAUGUGCACUAUUAUAUAAUUGAGUGUAGGCAUUAACGUAGGCCAGAUUUUUAUCCUUUUCAGGUCUGUCAGGCUUUCAUGGAAUAAGAAUUAGGCUUCUGGAACAUAAUGUCAGUGAUUUUUGACUGAUAUGUGCUAAUGGGGUUAGGGAAACAUGAAUACUUGGAGUCCUUAAAAACUGAGGGUCAUAUCUAAGAUCUAUAAAUGAUGGAGCUGUGACUAUUCGUAGGCCCAAAUAGUGUCUUUGGCUUUCACUGUGAAGUCCUGCUAAUAGCAUCUUAGUUUUAUAUAGGGUAUUACAAUUCGAGAUUAUUUUCAUGUGCAUUAUCUCAUUUCAUGGUUAUUUGUAACUAUAAA